UACGGGGGGGGCAAGCGUUGUUCGGAAUUACUGGGCGUAAAGGGCUCGUAGGCGGCCAACUAAGUCAUACGUGAAAUCCCCGGCUUAACCGGGGAACUGCGUCUGAUACUGGAUGGCUUGAGUUCGGGAGAGGGAUGCGGAAUUCCAGGUGUAGCGGUGAAAUGCGUAGAUAUCUGGAGGAACACCGGUGGCGAAGGCGGCAUCCUGGACCGAUACUGACGCUGAGGAGCGAAAGCCAGGGGAGCAAACGGG
rnacentral:rRNA from 1 species